GUUAGGAAUAUUGGACAAUGGGCGCAAGCCUGAUCCAGCCAUGCCGCGUGAACGAUGAAGGCCUUCGGGUUGUAAAGCUCUUUAGCCGAUGAUUAUAAUGACUGUAGUCGGAAAAUAAGCCCCGGCUAACUUCGUGCCAGCAGCCGCGGUAAUACGAAGGGGGCGAGCGUUAUUCGGAAUCACUGGGCGUAAAGCGUGCGUAGGCGGCUUUGCAAGUUGGGAGUGAAAGCCCAGGGCUCAACCCUGGAAUUGCUCUCAAAACUGCAAGGCUCGAAUUCGGGAGAGGAUAGCGGAAUUGUCAGUGUAGCAGUGAAAUGCGUAGAUAUUGACAGGAACACCAGUGGCGUAAGCGGCUAUCUGGACCGAUAUUGACGCUGAGGCACGAAAGCGUGGGGAUCAAACAGGAUUAGAUACCCUAGUAGUCC
rnacentral:rRNA from 1 species